ACAUCUUCUAUGGCACGAGAUCAAAUGCCGAGUUUGUCAUCCACAAUGGCUUCUUCUUUCAAGACAACGCCCACGACCGAGUGAAGAUCAAGCUGGGCGUCAGUAAGAGCGAGCGACUGUACGCCAUGAAGGCCGAGGUGCUGGCCCGAGCCGGCAUUCCUGCAUCUUGUGUCUUUGCAGUGCACUGUAAUGAACCCCCGAUAUCAGCCCAGCUCCUUGCCUUCCUAAGAGUCUUCUGCAUGACAGAGGUGUGUAGAUCAGAGGCAGCAGAGAAGACGCUCAAUGAUUUUAGAUGACAUGCAUAACUGCUGAUCUCCACCAACAUUCUGCUCCAACUCUGCUAGAAGGUCAGGAAUUCCUGCCGUAGCAACCUUUUGACACAAAAAGAAGUCAUAGUUUUAUAAAUAGUCGACACAUUCUAAUGUUCUUCAGUGUCUGAUGAGAUGAUUACCGUAAUUUUCGGACUAUAAGGCGCACCUGAAUAUAAGCCGC